rnacentral:rRNA from 1 species
UACGAAGGGGGCUAGCGUUGCUCGGAAUCACUGGGCGUAAAGGGCGCGUAGGCGGCUGUUUAAGUCGGAGGUGAAAGCCCGUGGCUCAACCACGGAAUGGCCUUCGAUACUGGACGGCUUGAGACCGGAAGAGGACGGCGGAACUGCGAGUGUAGAGGUGAAAUUCGUAGAUAUUCGCAAGAACACCAGUGGCGAAGGCGGCUGUCUGGUCCGGUUCUGACGCUGAGGCGCGAAAGCGAGGGGAGCAAACAGG